CCCCUUGAAGAUGAAGAGAUGAUCGCCUACCUUCUUCGUGGUCUCGACAGUGAAUACGACUCCUUGGUGACAAGUAUCACCACACGUGUUGACUCCUACACUGUCAGCGACGUGUAUGCUCACAUGCUGGGCCACAAGA